AGGGUGUAAACGCUGCAGACUUGGUGUUGGAAGCCCUUUGGGGGCAUUCAGUGCCGGAGAGAAGUUGUUAAGUCUGCUACUUGGGGAGUACGUCCGCAAGGAUGAAACUUAAAGGAAUUGGCGGGGGAGCACCGCAACGGGAGGAGCGUGCGGUUUAAUUGGAUUCAACACCGUAAAACUCACCAGGGAAGACUGUUACAUGAAGGCCGAGAUGAAGACUCUGCUAGAUUUUCAGAGAGGAGUGCAUGGCGUCAGUGACU
rnacentral:rRNA from 1 species